AAGAGGUCCCAUGGGAGGUGCUGGAUCUAGUGGUAUCCCAAGUAAAAUUGCCAGAGCAGGACUUGUGUGUGCAUGUGUAUAACAAAAGCACAGGCACAAACUUCUUCCAUUAAUCUUACUGUGUGUACUGUGGUCUGAUUGCACAUUGAAUGGCAAAAGUCACCCAAGCUCUGAAGGCAUCUGUGUGCUCAUGUUGCUACAGGUCAUCCCCACGCAGAGUCCCAUCUCUUCUGCCACGUCUGUCCCCCUCCUGGCACUCUGGGUUGUGGGAUCAUCUAUCCCCAGUGGGUACACUGGCAUCCCCAGGCCAUGCACCUGAGCAGCCACUGGGUGAACUGGGAAUAGCAACAGAUGCUGCUUAGUGCCACUAAGUACCACAGGAGUGGCUGUCCUUACCAGUCAGGCUUUGCCCUCAGUAGCUUCCAGCUAGGCUUGCAAUUACUUUCUUCCUCAUCCUCACACCUCCUCUUCUACUCCCUCAACUACUUACAGCAUCAAAGCCCUGAAGUCUGCAGUCCUCCUUUCUCAGGAGAUCUGGUUUAGCUGUCAGUGAAAGAUUUACACUGUGAUAAGAGGCUCACUGCUGCCUAUAGGAAUAAGUCCCAUGGAUAUUAACCAUAUCAGGAUCAAGGCCCUGCUGGAUUGCCUCCUCCAGCCCAGCUGAAUCUUCCCUCCUUUCCUGCCUGGUUCUUUACUCAUUUACAAGUUCUGUGAAGUCCCAGCGCAACAUCUGAUUUCCAUCCAGUUGGACAGUAAACUGACAUUUUUCUCACGGUCUCUGGGCUCUUGUGCUUUGGGUCUCUGCCAAGCACUCCACAUCUUUAACUUGCCCUUUUUUUUUUUCACUUCAGACUGAGUUGUCCUGGUCCCCCCUCCCCCCACCCAGCUUUUAAAGGAAGCAAAAUUAAAAGCUCGACAAGAAGAGCCGGUCUCCUUCCAGGACUCCCCAGGGAUGAACGCGCUGCCCACCCUCCAUGCCAAGUGGCACCAAGAUGCUUUCCUGCAGACCCAGCGAUGGCAACUGCCCAACUCUCUGCUUUGAAAGCGGGGAAUGUAGAGGCCAGUGCCAAUAAAAAGGGCUGCUCCCCCUAUCCCUCCAAUUUUGUUUAGGGCUCUGCUACCAUUCGGUCACAAGUCACUGCCUCCAGACACUUGUUAAUGCCAGACAGACACGCAGAUAUGCCGCACAUUUUUUCUGCUUCCCAAAAUUCUGCUCUCAUUUGAAAUGGCAGGUGGGUGUUCCUCUCUCCAUGGUGCAUCAGGCAGUGGCAUUUUGCUCUUCAUCCAGUUCCAGCCAUCAUGGGAAAUCAGAGCAAAUGCAACACAUACCCUCAAAAUCCCUUCCCACAGCCCCGUGCCUUUUUGUUUUUCUCUCUGUUGGCCAGCAGGGUGGGAAGGAGAGAUGAGAACAUCUUGGUUUCCGCCCUCCCCAAACCUCUUUCUCCCCAGUACAUCAUCCCUCUGACACCUGCCUGGCCAGCUAUGGAUACAAGGAUGCCAGCAGAGAUGCUGACCCAAGCACCAAAGUGGUGGCUUCAGUGACCCAAACAUGAGGGUGGUAGAAACUAAAGCUCAUAGAAAAGCUUUGCAGCUGGCUGAAGGCAGCAGGAACCAAGGCAGCUUCCCCAAAAUAGUCCACAGUAUCUUACAAAAACAACCAACCACAAUAGCACCCUCUACUCCCACAAGCUGCUGGUGUUCAAAAGCACCACAGCUAUACUGUGGUUGGGGCUACACUAAUGAUUUGCAUCAAAUUGCCAUGCCGUGCCCACUUUCUUCUGCCUGGAGACAACCUCAAAACAGAGUAAAUCUGAAGUCGUGGUGAAAAUCUUUUUGAAUCAACUGUUCCAUUUGGGCAGGUCCCAUGGCUGCUUAUAGUGACAUCCUUUCAUGUCUAGUGCAACAACACAACAUCAGAGCAAAGAGGAACCAGCAUGAGUAUUUGCUGGCUUCUUCCCCUGUCAUCUGCCAUGCUGCUGCAUCGUUAUGUCUUAUCACUUCAAGCAAUAAGUUUGGGGAAGGUGAAACCAGGAUGUGUUCCUAUCUCCUUCCCACCACGCCAGCCAGCAGAGCAGAAAGCAAAAAGGCAUGGGGCUAUAGGAAAGGAAGGGACUUCGAGGGUACAAAAUUAUUGAGUACUGCUGGAUGCUACUUAAGAGCCAAAUUAAUUUAGCCAGCAAAAAUUGAGAUUGUUAGCUGCCCUGCCAUUCUCCUUAGUCUUUCCCCAGCCCCACAUGGAUGAGUCACUCCUAAACCUGCAGCUGAUGCAGAAGUCAUUAGAAAUGACUAAGCGCUUUAGGAAACGAGCCCUUCGUUUUCUCAGGCAGCAGCUAUGGCUGUGCUUUCAGACCCCAACACCCAUCUGCCUUUGCUGCACUGGGCUAGCAGGGCUGUACAUCCCUUUCCAGUGCAAAGGCAUGCGUAUGCAAGUUUGCUCUUGUGCAAAGAUUUGUUUUGAUCCCAGUGAACUUUGUUCCUUCUUGAUUUCCUCUGUUGGAAGCAAAGUUCCUUGGGUCAAAAGGGCUCCCUGUUUUACGCAGAGGAAGUCUUAUGGCAGCAUAGAUAUACAGCCUUGACGUCCAGACCUGACUGGUUUUUCUAAGAAAAAUGAUUGAUUUUUAAAUUGCACCAUGAUUUGAAGCAGCAAUAGGAGUCUUUAUGUAAGCAGUCAUACACUAAGCUUGCCCUCAAGUUUUUAUUAAGGGCACAGUGAAUCUCACUGGUCAGUAAUGACUUAUGGUAAAGGCUGCUCACCUCUUUAGGUUGGAUGUUUUCUGCUCCUGCUCAUUAAGAUGCCUGUUUGAAGUCAGGUAAUUGCGGGAAUGUCUGUCAUGUUACAAACCAGCAAAAUAUUUGCUUGAUUUUUCUUUUAAACUAGACUAUUUGAUUUCUGUAUCCCAGAGGUUAACAGGAAUCUGCUAAGAGAGCAACAAGUGUGUUUUGAUGGAGUUGAAAAGCGUAAUUUUCUCAUUUAUUUAGUUGACAAAAACUCUUAAAUGGGCUGGACAUAUUACAUUACCUCUUCUCCAUAUACCCCAGGCUGUCCUGAAAUGGCUGGUACAGGUUUGUGGGGGCCACUAGGGCACCCUUGCCUCAGCUUCUGCCUUGGCCAGUCUUGCUACCACAUUGACUGGGCUGCUCUCAACAUUUUCUUUGAUUUUAGGCAAAAAUGUGAAGGCAGCAGGUUUCAUUCUUUUUCUAGGUCUCCUCCAGAAAAACCUCCUGGUAGCAGAUGGAACUUCCAUGCAAACCUUUCAGGAGACACUGUCAGACUUAUACAUGAUGUUCAAAGAGUUUAGCCCUCUGAAUCCUGAUUAAUUUGUUUUCCUUCCCUCUUGUCAAUCAGUUUUACUUCUUUUUGCUGAGGUGCAUGAAAUUGCUGUCUUUUCAAAACAAGAGGGCUGAGCUUUAUGCAGGAAUCUGGGCACUUGAGCACUUGCACAGAAAUUCAUGGGACCUUGGUGUGUACUUGGGCGGUUGUCUCUUGUGCAGCACCUUGGGCCAUACCAGUGGUGUUAUUUGGUCUCUUCUGCAUUUAAUAUAUAAUCAAGGAAACCUUUUAGCUGUGUCCUGUGGAGACUGAAGGGACAGGCAGUGUGGAUGUUGCUGGAGAAGUGCUGCUUCCCACCUGGGCAGGUCAACACAAGGCACAGGCACUUACGCAGCUUUGAGGUGCCACAACACCACGGCUUAAUGACAUCUCUGCUUAAUUACUGGAAUGCUUACAGGGAGAGGAGCCUGUCCCUUUCACCUCCUUUGCCUGUUAUCCUCAUUUUGUGAACAUUUAUGGAGUCUAGACAGGGCUGGGACCCACAUAUGCAGCUCCUCCUCAUUUUUAGUUGUCUGGAUGAGUGCUCUGUGACUCACGCCAUUCCCUUGCACAGGAGGAAACUUACAUGUAUUGCUUCCCUUUCUUAUAUCUUCUUCAUAUAAAAUUAUUCCUACUGGCAUGCACCAAAUCCCUGUUUCAGGGGGCAGCUGUCCCAGGCAGACCUCAGGGGGCUGGCCCCAAGAUUUGCCCUUCUAUAGCUGAUGGGGAAAUGGGGAAACCCUUCCUUUUUUCAUCUUUUUUUAUAAUCCCAUCACUUUUGCACCACACCUCUGCUCAACGAGGGCAUCUGGAGGCCAUGCCGUGGAUACAGUGUUGCUGGAGUUUGGUUUGCAUCUGAAGCAGAAAUAAAUGAUAGUAGUAAUAGGAGGAGGAGAAGAAGAAAUCAAAAGAUGAGAGAAGGACCUGGAAGAAAAUGCCAGAGAAACACGAUGCAUCAGGGUGAAAUUGCAUUUUGUCCUCUAUUUAUCCUUCAUCAUUUGUAUUAGCCCUUUUGGUAAGAAAAUGGAGUAGAAAUGUAAAUCUGAGCUUGAGAUGCUUUUCAGUAGCCAGCUGCUCAGUGUACCUAAAAACCUGGUUUUCAGCAUCUCUCUCAUGUGGAUUCUCUGAUGCCUGAUAUGGGCUGGGCUAACCUACAGCCUUUCCUCCAGCAGAGCUACCAGUAUGGUUAUUUUUUAAUUUAAUAGCCACCCACCAGUAUCUGUGAAAACCUGCAGAGCCUUAAUAACUAUCUUCAAGAGCACUACCCUCUGCUGCAGCUUGCUGAAAUCGGGCAAGGAGUGUCCCAACUUAAUGGGGACAGCAAGACCAUGCCAGCAGGUAGACACCAGGGAAGCUGUAACUCUUAAAAGAAGCCUUUGCAACUAAAAAGGAAGGCUGAGGCGGAUGUUUCCCUGGACUUGAAACCCUGCAAAACAGUGAUUGGUGAGGUCCCUCCUGAGACAGGUAGAAUAAAAGAGUAAAAAUCUUUGGGUAUGGGGGGUAGAGGUGAUUUCAGCCACGUGCCCAUCCCUCAUGCUCUUUACGACUUUAAAUCACCGUUUUAUAAAUAAGUCCUGUCAUGAUGGAACACACUGUCAGGAAACGUCACUCACUGCGUGACAUGGCAGAUGGAGAUUUAUAUGCUAUCAUGUGAUGAUUUUAAUGGGUUCUGCCCAAAAUGGGACUUGGUGCUAAAAAUCAAACCCUGGGCACUGUACAAGCUUACAGCAAGUGCCGGGCUCUCUCUGGCAGAUCCUCGCAAGCAGAGGAAAUUUGUCUCAGCGACAGCAACAAGACGUUGCGGUGAUAAAAGCUCAAAGCACAUCCUCAAAAUGCAGCAUGUGAUUUUGCAUUAAAGACUUGAGGGCUGUCCUAGGCAGGAUGAGCCCAUGGUGCUGCAAGGCUCUGGCCUCAGGAUACAUACAGCUCCCAUCUCUCAAGAGGUGUUGUGAAGAAGGGGUUAAGAAAAGAGUUCUUUUGGUGGCAGACAAACCACUGGCAACUGAAAAUAAACAGGCAAGACAUCAGAUCCCAUUGAGCUUCAAAUAAAAUGCAGGAUUUGGAAAAAAAUUGUUGUUUGUUUCAAGCACAGCUUCAAGGAAGGUAGAAAAACCUUUGAUCUCCUGAGUUUCUCUGCAGUGCAGCUUUCAGUUUCAAGUGUGCUUCUUGUUGGGCAUAGAUCUUAAUAUAGUUAUUUCUCAUCUGUAAUAACAGCCAAGAUUUAAUUUGAUAUGUUUAAUUAUGGUGGAUGGAACAAUCGAUUCCUUAGUCACUAAUAAAUGUAUGAGGAACACAUGAAUAAAUGAGCUAUUACACUAAAAAAAAGCCCAGCCCUGAGGAGGUGACAAAACAAGGAUGAAGGCUUUUCCUGAGGCACUUGCGUGUCACUUGUGACACUCGAGGGACAGCCUCACGCCUGCUUGCUGCAUGUCACAGCUCACACCAUGGGCCAUACAGGACACAUGGGCUCAGGAGCUGAUGGAGGCAGCAGUCCAGUAGAUCUCAGAAGUUUUCCCUUGAGAAAUGUUGCUCCAUCCCUGUCUACCUGCUCUGCAAUUCCUAAUGCGGUUGGAAGCUGGAGACUUCCGUGAACGUGAGCCCUGAUGCCUUCAAGAUGUGAUAUUUAGAGGAAUGACAAAAAAUAGUUCAUGUUCAAUACAAUGCCAAUAAGUAAUGCAAUGGUUCUGAGGUCUCUUUUCUCUUAUUCUGAGCCUCUGAUUUCAAAGCCUUUGUUUUCCCCUUUGAACAUACAUAGAUUACUUUAAAGAUAGACCAGCAUUUCCCUGCUCAGCUAAUUAAAGCCCCAAAAUUUGCAUUCACUGCGCCAAUGCAAUAGGUUUGUCUUGCCCUUAAUGUGCACAGAGAUAACUCCAUGCUGCAGGGCUUUGAUCGUGCCUGGGUGUCUCUGCAGCAGCAGUGCCAGCUUCUGCUGCCCUGGUACAAGUCCAGGUGAGGAGAGAGAGCACCCGGGGCAAGUACCUCCAGUACCCAAAAGGGAACUACCUUGGUUAAAGGAUGCAGUGGAUGUGAGUCCUCCUGCACAGCUGGUUUGUGAUGACCAGCCCUGGGUACGGAAUGUGUAUCUGGGGUGAGGCUCUGCUUUGGUGGACAGAGGAGAAGGCGGUCCCAGCCAGAGCACGCUCAAGGCUGCACCAUCCCUGUUCCCCAUCCCUUCCUACCGACCCAUCUGCUCACGAUUCCAGUUGGCUGUUUCUACUCUCAAACACAUGUCCUAUCUCCUCCUCCUGCUUCUGCCACAACAUGUGGAUUUUUGGGAUGACACCUUUGGGAAAAGGGUUCAGAAUGUGAAACAGUGUUAUCCACAACUAUACAAUGCCAGCUGGGUGGAGAGCACUCAUUAUUUUACCCAGCAGGGUUGGAAAGAUAAAUAAAUAAAAGGUAGCUGAAGAGGCUGCAAAGAAGAUGAGCUGUGCAUGUCCAAGGGGACAUGAUAGCCAUGGGACCCUGAUGUAGGAGGAGGUGAUGUCAUUGUAAUGGACAGAAGGAAGAAGGAGGACAGCAGUGACAAGACCAUGUGUUCAUGUUGAGAUGAUAUGAUCCCACAAGGCAGAUUUAGGGACCUGGGUGGUUGAUGCUGCAGGUGGGGUGGCAUGAACACCAUCCUUCAGUCAACCAUCAGCAGGAUUAGACCAUUGCAUUUGGGCUUUUGGGGCAGGAACUUUACUGGGGAGAAGAGAAAUAUACAGAGAAAGAAGGAGGGUGAGCAAACUGUUGUGUGAAAAGAAAUGGAUGUGAACAAAUUCAAUGUGACCUGAAGAAGUCAUCAGAAACAUUGUCCAAAGGAGGCUUGUAGUUGUGGGAAGAGGCAGAGGACCCAUCACUGCUUGCAGGAGCACUCUGGGGGAGCUGUCAGCCCUGGGGGAAGCAGGACUUCAGCUUGGUCUCCUAAAAAAAAUAAAUUACACCAAGUGCUUGCCCUCACUGGCUGUGCUGAGACUGCUUGUGUCCAGACAGCUGCCUGGGUCAAGAGAGCAAGUGAGGUCCAUGGUCCUCUCUCUUCUCUGCUGGUCUUCACGCCUGCAACAGAGCUGGGAAACUGCCCCAGUUUCCAGCCCUCAGUGUUUAAUUCAUCAGCCCUCAGUGGUUAAUUCAUUCAUCAGCCCUCAAGGCUUUUCCCUGCUCAACCAAGCCUGGACUGCAGCAAGAGCACAGCUCCCCAUCACCUCCUCCAGCUUCGCCUGGUCCAACUCAAUCUGGUUUGCAUUGAUGCAAGAAAAAAAGCUGCACAAAGUUGUUUAGAAACAGGCCCCUCCAGUUAUUUCCAUCUACUCUGAAGCUGCUUGAAACUGUAAACCAAGACCUCCCGGUGCUACUUUUUCCCUGUACUCCUAUUUUUUUUGUCCUUGCCUCCACUCCAGUGGCGUAUUUCUCAAGCCCACCAGUCAGAUGAACCACAGUUGUGCUGCACCCUGGCUGUGUCCCCACAGCUGCUGUGAGGAGGCAGCACCCAUUGCAGCCCCCAGCUUCUCCCCCAGCCCUCCUCCAGCCAGUCUGCAGCACAGAAAAGCCCAGCCCUGCAGCAACAGUGGCAGCAGGUUGGCAACAGCAGCCGCUGUGUUCAAGAAAAAUUAGCGAAUUCUCUGCUGAGACAAAGAAUUUGUUCCCCCUAUUGAAUAUUUCAGCCAGCUAUAAUAAUAAUUAUAUACUGUUAGUAAUAAUAUAUCAGUACAUAUAUUAGUAUAUAAUAUUUAACUAUAUAUUAUGCUUUUAUAUAUUAUAAUAUUAUGUUAUUAUUGUAAGUCUAAGAAUAUUUGCUAUUGCAUUACUACCUGUCACCUUGCAGCACCUUGGUGUUGCAGGCGUCUCACACCCCUCUCUUGUGGAUCACCUCUGCCACAGCUGUUCCUGGGAGCUGUUUUUCGGGUGUCUAAGCUAAGAGUUGGCAGUGCCAUGAAUGGGGCUCGCUGGGUACCAACUUGCUGCAGUGCCUCAGGGACAGGCUGCUGCCUCCAGGGUCCCCAUGAAGUGCUUCAGCUGCCUGUGUGGGCUGGGAUUUAGAUGCUCCAGUAACCACAGUAUGAGUGAGGCAUGCCAAAGAACCCUUCACUGUUGGCUUAGUCUUUGAAUGGCCUUAGCAGGGUUUUCACCUCCCAUCCUGCCAUUACAUCUGAAAAUGCAGCAAAAAAUCCCUAGCUGCUCACGAGCGCCUUGCAGCCCAGUGCUUGGCAAAUUUGGGCACUGAUCCAACAGUGCUCAGGGACCUGCUUGUCUCUCAAGGAGUCCCAGCAUCUCUGGGUGGGGAAAUGCUGCAUAAUGUGAUGUACUGAGGGGUUUUCUUCCUUUACUAAGAAGUAGGAAAGCACUGAUGCCUUUCCUGUAGGCAUGAAUUCUCCUGAUGCCCUGUUUGCUCCCUACUUCUCGUGUCCUUUUGUUCUGGAGGUUAAUAAAUAUUAAAUUUUUAUCUUCUUUGCCAUCUACUCCCCCUUCUUCUUCUUCACCCUGUGCCUAAUAUCAGUAGCCUGCUCUAAUAAAUAAUGUAGCAUCUGUCUGGGCAGUAGUUUGUGGUCUGAGCUUGCUUGAUGGGUUGUGUAAGUGGAAGUAUUGAGCUGAACCUACUUUGCUCCCUUUCACAUCGAAGAGCUAUUGAUUCCGUAUCAGAGGUAUAAGCUGGUUGAAACAACAUUUUCUCACCCUGUGCAUGAACAUCCCAGCUCAGCAGGCAGAGAAAGUGUAUGGGGCUUAAGGGAAUAAAACCCCAGGGAUUUAAGUAUACACCUAAGGUUUAACAAGUGCUUAAGUGCAUUCCUGAACUGGAGCCUGAGGGAAUAAUGUUAUUGUAUUACCUAGCCUUUAUGGGAUUGCCAUGGUCUGGUGGGAGCAGCUAGGCAGCUGCAGAGGUUUCCUGGGGUACCAGGCAUGCAGCUUUCAUGAAUUCCCUUCAGCAUUAAUUGGCUUGGUUUUGCCCCUUGGGACAAGGAAAGCACAAGGAAAUCUGCCUUGCAGAUGCUUUCUUGACUGUAUCUGUCUUGCACACAUUGAAAUCUUGCUCUAUUUUUCAAUGAUCCCUCUUCAGUCUGGGGGAAAGGGGACCCUCGCCUCCAUCAGAGCAACUCAAAGCAUCUUUUUGGGGCUGUAUAUGCAGAGAUACAAAGGUGACGCUAUGCACCAGAGGAAGAGGAGAAAAAAGAGGCUCUGAGCAUCCUGAGAGUUUUUCUGCAGUGGAGGAGUUUCAACCCAGCCACACGUGGCUGCUUUCCAGUGCAAUAAACUGCAGCAGCUGCAAUCUCA